rnacentral:lncRNA from 1 species
CUGACGUGGUCAGCAAGCUCCCAGGGUCACAUGAAGACUCGUUUACACAUUCUCACAAAAACACAAGGGAUAUGUCCUGCAUAUGCAGGAACAAAAAAGGAAGGAUGUGAUUUUGCUUCUUAUGCAUUUGAUAUUUUCCUGGGGUCCUGGAAAAGGAGGUAUUUCAGCAUGGAUUUGCAGAGGGACUUCUCACUUGUGUGACUGAGAGCAGGAAGGUCAGCUGUAGGUCAGCAUGGACUUUGGUCUAGGCUGUUAUUAUUCAGUGCUGUUCUUUCACGCUUCCAUUCCCAUACAAAGCUGAUUUCUGCAUGCAGCAGAUCUUUGCAUUCACAGAAUAUGCUCUUAAUGCAAAAUAAACUGGUCUGGUCUUUGGAGACUGAGAGCCUCAGCAGGGUGUGGGACAAGGAGAGAUGAAAGGAGACCUGGGAUGCUACAGGGAAGCAACAGGCCAAAGAGAGGGGCAGCUGCAUCAUUCUUAAAACAAGGCACCCUUGGAGACACGCUUCCCUACAGAAGUGGAGUUGCAGUGUGUUUCUGAGGCAUUUGAUGCUCCCUUGAGUGAGAUUGAUUUUGGGAAGAACAGCUGGAGGUUGGAGCAGAGACAGCAGUGCUGUGUGAGAGUGGGGCAAGAAGUGAUUUGCUGCUGGAAAAUCUCAUUGUGGCUGCCCAACUGCAUCAGGGGGCCAGAAGUCUUAUUUUUCUGGGAAGGAUCCUGAUUCUAGUCUGGAGACCAAGUGCAAAGUUUAGUUGGAAUUCCCUACAAAUUUUGGAAAUAUUCAAAAAAUUUCAUCAGUUCCUGUACUGUUUCAGGGCCAGUAUGGGGCUACGUAGGGCUCAUGUUGGCUGCAGUUUCUCACCCAGGAGGAGCUUCUUCACCCUGCUGAAUAACUUGCAGUGUGUAGCAGACCCAGAAUCUGAAAUGUAAGAGCAGCGGGUCAGGGGAGCGAGGGUUCAGUGGAGUAAACUGCUGUGGCCAGUCAAAGCUGGGACUCUGGAAGGGGUCACACGCUUGGGACUGUGCUGUGAGCUCCCACCCCAACAGUGGGAACAACUUUUGCAUAAUUCAGUUACACCUUGGAAGCAGUUAAAGCAAUUAAACAGCAAACUUGGCAUAAUUACUAGUUAAUAGUCAAAGCCAGUGCUCCUAAAGUGUAAAUUGUUUUGGUAUUGAUCUAAGCUUACACUGUCAGCAUUUUGUAGAGACUGAACUUUAAGUGCUUAAUUCAGCUGUAUGCAACCAUUAAUUUUGUUUUUUAUCUGCAAACAAAGGUGCAAGUGGUUAUUCUAUUUUUCUGCAAUAAUAAAAUCAAUUAAACUGUUUUCCCCCA